rnacentral:rRNA from 1 species
GGAGUUAGCCGGUGCUUCUUCUGUGAGUGAUGUCCUUCCUGCCGGCUAUUAACCCGCAGGCCUUCUUCCUCACUGAAAGUGCUUUACAACCCGAAGGCCUUCUUCACACACGCGGCAUGGCUGGAUCAGGGUUGCCCCCAUUGUCCAAUAUUCCCCACUGCUGCCUCCCGUAGGAGUCUGGGCCGUGUCUCAGUCCCAGUGUGGCUGAUCAUCCUCUCAGACCAGCUACGGAUCGUCGCCUUGGUGAGCCGUUACCUCACCAACCUGCUAAUCCGACAUAGGCUCAUCCGAUAGCGCGAGGCCCGAAGGUCCCCCGCUUUCCCCCGUAGGGCGUAUGCGGUAUUAGCCUGGGUUUCCCCAGGUUAUCCCCCACUACCGGGCAGAUUCCUAUGCAUUACUCACCCGUCCGCCGCUCGCCACCAGGGAGCAAGCUCCCCGUGCUGCCGCUCGACUUGCAUGUGUUAGGCCUGCCGCCAGCGUUCAAUCUGAGCCAGGAUCAAACUCUGA